rnacentral:lncRNA from 10 species
AAAAAAAAGGAUUUUGUUUUUACAGCACCAAACUACAUUUGGUCCUUCACUAAAACUCAGGUUAAUAAGAAAUGAUGUGUUGCAAAAGAUUCCUUGAAUCCCAUUUAAUUGUGAUCAAAUUUCUUAUUUUCAUUUCUCUUUUUAAAUAAUAAUAGUCUAGAAAAAGAAAAUAGCUAAAUUUAAAUCCAGAUGUAAGCAGUGUCUUAGAUAGCAAUGCUUUUAUUCCUUUAUUAUAAUAUUGUCAUUGAAAAAAUUCUAAUAUUUCUCAUCUUUAAGUCCUACUGCUAGUUGUGGGUUAAUUAAUUCCAUGCCAUAUGUUGUUUUUCUUCAAUUUCAUUAGUAAUCUGCUUUUUCAUCUAUGACACAUCACUUCUGGCCCUUACUUUGUCCCAGAGAACUCUCUGCACCAUUCUCUAUGUUUUUUUGCCACUAACGUGACCCACUGGACAGAGUGCUGGGAGCAAAGAAAGACAUGACUUAUGGAAAAUAUGAUCUGUGUCCUCAUGUUCUCCAGUUUUAAAUAUACUUCAUGUGGAA